rnacentral:rRNA from 1 species
AACGAACGCUGGCGGCAGGCCUAACACAUGCAAGUCGAACGCCCCGCAAGGGGAGUGGCAGACGGGUGAGUAACACGUGGGAACCUACCUUGUGGUACGGAACAACCAAGGGAAACUUUGGCUAAUACCGUAUGAGCCCGAGAGGGGAAAGAUUUAUCGCCAUAAGAUGGGCCCGCGUCGGAUUAGCUAGUUGGUGAGGUAAUGGCUCACCAAGACGACGAUCCGUAGCUGGUCUGAGAGGAUGACCAGCCACACUGGGACUGAGACACGGCCCAGACUCCUACGGGAGGCAGCAGUGGGGAAUAUUGGACAAUGGGCGCAAGCCUGAUCCAGCCAUGCCGCGUGUGUGAUGAAGGCCUUAGGGUUGUAAAGCACUUUCGCCGAUGAAGAUAAUGACGGUAGUCGGAGAAGAAGCCCCGGCUAACUUCGUGCCAGCCGCCGCGGUAAAAC